UACGAAGGGGGCUAGCGUUGCUCGGAUUGACUGGGCGUAAAGGGCGCGUAGGCGGUUUGCACAGUCAGACGUGGAAUUCCUGGGCUUAACCUGGGGGCUGCGUUUGAUACGUGCAGGCUUGAGUUCGGAAGAGGGUCGUGGAAUUCCCAGUGUAGAGGUGAAAUUCGUAGAUAUUGGGAAGAACACCGGUGGCGAAGGCGGCGACCUGGUCCGAUACUGACGCUGAGGCGCGAAAGCGUGGGGAGCAAACAGG
rnacentral:rRNA from 1 species